UACGUAGGGGGCUAGCGUUGUCCGGAAUCAUUGGGCGUAAAGCGCGUGUAGGCGGUCCGGUAAGUCCGCUGUGAAAGUCGAGGGCUCAACCCUCGAAUGCCGGUGGAUACUGUCGGGCUAGAGUGCGGAAGAGGUGAGUGGAAUUCCUGGUGUAGCGGUGAAAUGCGCAGAUAUCAGGAGGAACACCUAUUGCGAAGGCAGCUCGCUGGGACGUUACUGACGCUGAGACGCGAAAGCGUGGGGAGCGAACCGG
rnacentral:rRNA from 1 species